AAAUCAAUAUUCGGACCGUCGGUCUACCGAGCAAUAUCACCCGCUCGGUGGAAGAUCUUCCCUUUGUCGUAUAUA
rnacentral:pre_miRNA from 1 species